CAAAAAUGAUUAUUUUGAAUAUAUAUACAUAGAAAAGGGUCAAAUAUAAUAAACAAUUCAGAAAUUGAUCAGUGUAACAAGUUUAUUGUUUGAUAAAUCGAAUAAUUUAAAUCAUUCGAAACGUCUCCCAGUUUCCCUACGCAGUAGGAUUUGAAGAAUGGGUGCCAGAAGACCUUACUUUCCUGGCUAAUAACUACACAGAUAUUGUAUGAGAGAAAAUAUUUUAGAUUAAUUUGAGUAUUACUCCUUAUUGGUGUAAACCAUAUCAAACCAAGACAGCAUUGCUGUCUGAUAUUUCCGAUCCUCAAAGUUAUACCGCUCAUAUAGUCUAGGAAGGGGUCCGAGGUCGAGAUCUUGCCUUUUGUUGUACAAUUAGGGGCAAGGGUCGGGCGUUAGAACGACCCACCCAUGCCAACCAAUAGGCUACUACCCUUCUAUGUGGGUAUUCGAUUCAAAGAGAAUUUGUCGCAUACUUUGCAUACAUUCGUUUUUGAGCAUCGCAUAAAACAUUUGCAGUGGCCAUUGAACAUUGAGGACAUCAUAUGAAAUACCUACUUCCUGGUAUGUGAUGGUGUUGGCCAAUACUGCACGAAAAUACUAUAACGUAUUUAAGUAACGCUUUGAGAUUUUCGCCAAACGGUUUACAAAACACCAUAUCGUGGAGCACGUGUUUCGGUUUUGUAAACUUUUUAGUCGACAUGUCGCAAUACUGUUGAAUACAUCAGUUCUUGGCUUUGUCAAUGAUGAUGUAAAAAAUAGAACUCGGCGAGCACCUAAUUUGGUAUUCCUAAUUGUUAAGAGUGAGGAGUGGGUAUCAUUUUCUACGUACGUACGUCGUUUUGCUUUCGUGAACGAUUUUUUUGGACUUCAGCAAAACUAGUGAUGCUAUAUAUAAUCGUUCUAACUUAUUUUUUAAUAAAUCUGAGUCAUUGGAACCUAGUAUAUAUCAGAACAUGGCUUUCACGAUCGAAGUCACGAUUCAAGAGAACUAAAUCCAGGUUGGUAGGCCAUAGUCACAUUGAACUUUGAGGGGACUAACAGUUUCGUCUGCUACUGCGACAGACGAAUCAUGUGACACACUUUUGAAACAUCCUCAUCGACAAACUGCCGAGAACAAUUGAAAAGGUUAUUAACGUGAAAUUUUCGAUAACUUCGAAAUUCCAAUACUCCUUAUCAGUGAUGAAAUAUUGAUAUUUCUUGUAUCCUGCAGAUCCGUAGGUUCAGCUCUCGGUAUAAAAUCUUAUGGUUUUAUACUGAGAGGCGAAGAGUGACUAAGGAAGUUGUUGAAUAUGUUUAGAUCUGGAAGAAUCAACGAUAUUUGUGUGAGGAAGAUGAUGUGGCUUCUUUUACCGAUCUGUUAAUUCGAAGGUUAGUUAUAUUUUAUGAAUACGAAUCGAAUACAUGAAACGGAUCUUUUUGGCCAAAUGUCUUCAUACUGGUGAAGACUAGCUUUGAAAUAUGUUGAAUAUAUACGUGCGAUUCUAAUUAACUUCGUACAAAUAAACGGAGAGUAGAUGGUCGUGCCUAAAAAUAUGAUUUGUUAAUUAUGUGGGUACUUUUUAUAUUGUCUCCACAAGGCUGACUCCAACCCUGUAUAAAAUAUCACUUUGAGGAAAUACGAGCCAUUACAAAACUGCCUUUAGCUUUCCGCUAAUAACUUAUAAUUUUCUGCCUUCAACACUGCCAUAAAUAACUAUAACAUAGGGAAAGGAUUAUAACAUUUUUAUAUGCCAUGGUAGGUUCUGGUAAGCUUGCCUAAAAAGAACUACUUUCCCGGCUCUAUUAUAGUAUUAUUGGUAUUUAGGAAGUUUCUUCCCCGCUUGGGGCUUUGUUCACGAGAUGGUGCUGUUACUAGUUAACAAUCUGAGAAGAAUAGGGUUUUAUAUAUGCAGCGGAGCAGCCGCGUUGAAAUUAAUCUAGUCCCAGGCACUUUGAUGUCUGGGUAGGAUCUUUCCUGCACUGAUGAGAGGUAAUACCUCGAAACCGGCACGGUCCUGCUGCUAGGUGAACAAGAAACAACUGCGAGACUAACCUUAGUAAGGUAUCUUGCAUAACUGUCUGUCGGAUAUAAUCAAAUAUCCAGCGUAGUAUUAGCCGGGGAAGUAGUCGUUUCCAGCAGGCAUUUACCAGAACCUACGGUGUAGGUAGUUGGGAGAGAUGAAGAUUUCGAAAUGUUUUUUUGUACGUAUGUGUUUCUUCUCUCUCGAUACUCUUCAGACACGUUUUGAUCUGUACUAUUUAGUUUGGAUAUGUCACCAUUAUAGGUGUUCGUAUGAUUUUACGUUGAACAAUUAGAUAUAAUAUAUACCAUGUGGUACGUAAAUAGGCUACUACUAACCAAGUAAUGUUAUCAAUCGAAAAUUUUUGUGUAUUAAUUAUACUUGAGUCGUACGUUAACUGAAUAACUUCUCACUCAUAUUUUUGUAGGAUAGUGUGUGUGAUUACGGUUCAGAUUCAUGUAAAGGAACGUCGUGAUUGUUGGGAUGUGGCUUCCUUUCAGGCCCGGCGUUCACAUUUGAUGAUCGCGUCUAGUUAUGGAGACGUGCAGCAAGAGAAAUAGUGCAAAAUUGGGUUGCACGAAAUUCGUUUAAGAUUUACGAAAUUUGAUUUUGAAAUUAGGUUUUAGCCUCGAAUAUUGUACUAUUAAAAAGAUGAUGAAAUCGACAUAAGCAGUUGCGCUGGUAAAGCUUUUGAUAAAUCCGGCAAAACAUGAAUUAUUCAGUAAAAUAUGGAGCAUAACUUACAAAAUUGCCUUGAAUUCGUUUAGUAUUAUGCGAUUUCCCCUUUUUAUGUUAAGAACAAUCUGAAAAUUCACCGAAAUAUACGUACCUGGGUUUAAAUCCGCAUUUGUUUUGUCUGAAAUAAUUGAAAAGAAUCGAGAAAGAAUCGUUUUGUGUUGAUACUGUUGUUCAACAUUGUUUAGUGUGGUCGUUGCUAUGGUGAUUUUUAUACUCUAUCGGCGUAUAGCAGAAUUAAGUUUUGCAGUGAUGCAAUAGCGAAAUCACCAUCAAAACGUAAACAUUGGAAAACUUUACUGUCUGGUACCAAAUUAGCAAAACAAUACGUUUGUUGUAUAUCCAAAUAUAAAUUAUUUUCGCAAGAGUAAAUAUGGAAAUAUCGAAAGUGAAAUAUAGAACUUUAAAAUUAGAAACCAACGAUGAGGAAAGGUUCAAUAAAAUUAGAUUCACGUGACAUUUUGAGGCCUCUAAAAGCUUUUUUUAUUUCUGUUUUUCCUAAUCCGCACUGGCAAUGCAAAAAUAGAGAUCUUACACAUAUUGGGCACUUAUGUAAUUUUGAAAUGGUAACAAACAAUGCUCUAUGAUAUUGUACAUAUACAAAUAUUAAUUCGGAUAUUUGAAAAACAAACGAAUAUGGUAGUACCGAAACAAUUUCUGAUUUGACAGUAAACGUUUCGCCCUAAUUCAAUUUUUAAUCGCAUUCCUAUAAAUAGGCCGAAGUAGUCUUGCUAGUUUUGAAACGUCUCUCAAACCUUUUGAAUUGGUUUGAAUGGAUCGCUAGUCAGAUUUUUUGUAAAGUUAGACAUUUUGAUAAUGCCGGAAGUUUCGUGUGUUCGAUUUUUGCAAAUUUGAAAUUCUUGAUAAAAUCUGCAAUGCUUGGACACUUGGCAACAUUGCGCCGCGAUGAGUCGUCGCCAGUGACGUGGAACUAGGUUUGGCGUCGUCCUUUUAUCGAUUAUAAUGCAUUCUGAAAUGUAAGGUAUCAGGGAAUAAUUAUGAUUUAGAAUCGUUUUUCUAAAUUCUCACGUAUUUGAGCGUAUUUGCAAUUAACUUGCUCAAUUCAACAAAUCUGAGCUAUUUACAUUUUAUUUCGGGAAAUGAACCAAUAUGAGUAAACGACAAAAUGAUAAUCACUUCCUUUGUUUUGGAUGGUUGAUUAGAAAAUAAAUAACUGUCUGAUUAUAUGUUUCAAGGUUUUAUCAUUUGUCUUAUUUAAUCUGAAUAUAAUUAUUUUUUUAUGGUUAUUACAUAUUCAUACGAACGUCUAUGAUAGUGAUUUAAAUUUGAUAAUUAUAAUUUGUAUUACAAUUUUGAAAUGUUGGGGAAAGAAAAUCAAUGUUUAUUAAUUGAAUGCUCAACAAUUGAUGAACUGAAAGGCUACAAAUUAAUGAUAGCUAGUUUCUGUUGCAAAAUACAUUUUUGAAAGAUUCUUACAUUGAUGAUAUGAAAAUAUAAUAAUAUAAAACGCUAUAAUAUUAACGCUAUUACAAAAAAAUAAUUUUGUGAUGUCAAUACUCGACAUUUAUAAUCUACGUUAAUAAUUUGCAAUUCUAUCCAGUAGUCGAAUAGGCUCUCGUUCCAUCAAUAUUUUUCUGUUAUUUUUCACCAUUCUCCAUCGAAAUCCAAGCUUAUAAAUUUCUUUUUGCAAAGAUUCCCUAAUCGUAGGAACUCGUUUCUUUUUGAUAUGGAAAUCAAUUAUGCAUCUGCGUGAAUUUGACAAAUCAACAUCAUCCAUCACAAUUUUGGAAUUUUUUAUACAUCCUUUAGGAGUUGCUCACCAUUUCUUAUUUUUCCAUCUCCAAUUUUUCGUACAGUCCCCACGCAAACCCCUGUGGGUUCGGCUACCCGUUCUUGAAUCUCAAAGUUGAAAUACUAGAUUAGUUACAAUUUUACUUAUUUUUACUAUUACUUCUUACCUUCGCAGGAGGACUUUUGUUCUAUCUGCCACUGCUUCCGCUUUCAUGAAUCUUGAUACGUUGUUCACAAUUUCUAUGCUGGUAGCCUUGUUUUUCAGUUUACUGUUCGAUAGCAUUUUCAAAGACGAUACAUCACUCACAGUUUGACAAACAGAAUAAUUUCUCCACUUAAUGUACUAACACGAUGUUCACUACACGAGCCCCUCGAUGUUAUUGAGCAAGUAUAUAUUGUGAAGUUUGGUAAUUAUCAUCAUGAAUAGAAUUUGAAUGUUAGAUUAUUCUGCCUUCUCUAAUCAGACUUGUAAUAGUCCUAAGGUAUUCAUUGCCUUCUGCAGUUAUCCAUUUUCCCAGAAAGUUUUAUUGAUAUAUCCAUUCAAAAGUCUCUUUUCAAACUCGUUAUUUAAUUCAUUAUCCAAAAUUACUGCCAAUACUCCAUAUAGUUCAAAACUACGAUUUCUCAAAAACCGUAUAAUGUUUUUUCCGUUAACCAGCUAUCGCACCCUUACGAACGAUAACCCUCAGAAGUCGAAACUUGUCGAGCUAAGGACUAACGAGGUCCAACCUUUUAACGUGUGAUUCAUAACACGGGUUGGACGAUAGCAAGUGAAUCUUGAGCGUUCAGGCUGGGGAUUGGACCAUCGACUCGCACAUCGGCCGAUUGAUUGAGUGAACAAAGCACCCACGUCGAACCUUGAUCAAAUUGAGUAAUGUCAUUAAUCCAAUCACACUCCAUAUUUAUAAAUGAUCCUGGAACAGUUAAUUUUAUAUUUUGGAAUUGCAUUCUAUUGCGUAAAAAUUUCGUUCUUGAAUAUAAAAACCUCAAAUUUUCAAAUGGAACACAAGUACCAAAAAUAACUUGUGUGUUAGGAAUCACACGUUGAAAGGUAAGACCUCGUUAGUCGCGCAAGUUUCUCAACUUCUGAGAGUUGUCGUUCGUAUGGGGACGACGGCUGAUUAACGGAAAAACAGAUUUUAAACAGAUUUGCUCACAUCUAUUGGCAUAAAAUCGGGUGACCGUGCUUGCUUUUUGAGUGACGAAUUUCAUUGCCAUUGUUUAUUCUCAUGAUCUAAAUGAAAUAAUAUCAUUUGCAACUUGUCAGAAUAUUUUAACGAUUGAGAAAGCUAUUGUAUAGCACGCGUGUUGUGGUUUGUGUUAAACCCUUUACAGUGAAAAUCAUACAAACAAAACUGUAUUAAUUAAUAAGUUUUAACAUGGAUUUUCAUCGGGUAUUGACCAGUUAUAUUCAAUUAUCGAAUAUUUCUGUUCUAGUGUUUUUUUAUAAGAAUUUGAAUCUGUUUUAAGGCAUUGGAAAUCUAAACAUCAUGAUAUUGAUCAAGUAAAUUUUGUGUGUUGAAUUUAUGAAUGAAAUUUUCUCGCAAUAGGAUGUGAUUUAAAAAUUAACUUAUUUCACGAUUUUUUAUAUUGAAAUAAGGAGUGUGUCAAUUUGGCAAUUCCAUACUGUAUUUUGCAAAAUCUAGUUUUGAAGUCUUCAGUCUGGUUAAGAAAUGUACGGCAUAUUCUUAAAGACAGACCAAAAUUACAGAGUGAAUACGAAAAAUUAUAAAAAAUGAUUGUCCCUUCAAAAAAUUAAUCACUACCAUAGGCAAUAUCUGUGGUUUGGUGUUUUUGAAGUAUAUUUAUUCCAUUAUAUUUUUUACUAGUGAAGGUUCAUAUGGUAUUUGAAUUUUUUUUUAAUCCCGAACAUAUGGUAGUACUUUUAUCGAUUUGUCAGAAAAUUUUACUUGUUGACUUACUUUGCAUCAUGUCAAAUUUAGAUAACGCAUAUGCAAUUCCAAAAAACCUUUCAUCAUACAGGGAGGAUCAUAAAUUUUAAAUUGAAUUUUCAAAUUCAUCAUGACAUAUAUCAUUAUGAUUCACUCGAAUAAGAAGCCGUAGCCCUUUAACCCCCCCCCCCCCCAAACUACGUUUAUUCACUUUUUGGUCAUGUUUGAAAAAAAGUAUAAAUGAUUUUUCAACGUAAAUUGUUAUGAAAAGUUAUGAAAAAAGCAAUUUAGUUGGUUUUUUUGAAAUAGCGGAUGAGAAAAUUGAGAAAUUGGCAACAAAUGUUAAUACAAGUACUUUGGGUGCUAAAAAAACCUACUUCAUACCCAAAAAAUCUAAACAAUUUGCCCGGAUGAAAUUUUUCGAUGUUUGGAAAUUUAAGGAUAGUUUUUGAAUUGCUGAUUUUUUAUUUUCCCUGUAUGACGGAAAGGUUUUUUCGAAUUUCAUGGGUGUUAUCUGGGUUUGGGAUGAACAUUUUGGUAACUCGUAGAGAACAAUUUAGACACACUGUAUAAUGGAGUUUGAAGGAAAUUUGAAAAUUCAACCUUUAAUGGAUUCAUCUAUUUGUUAGAUAGAAACUUGUAUUGAUGCUGACUAAAAGUUUGGUACACUGGUUCUCUCCAUAAAGUAUCUAGCUACUCCUAAGAACUAGACGUGAGAGAUGACGGUUCACCAAAGAAAGAGAAGGAAAUGCCAACUGGACCUGACAUUCGCAUUGGGACACGAAUGCCGAAAAAUAUUUAGUAUUUUAUAGUCUAGAAGCAUAGGAUGGGUUUUCGUUCUCGUUCCUAAAAUUAUUUGUAUUUCUAUAUAUUCUGAAGUUUUACUUAAUUUUCAUAAGUCCAUGAAAUAAGCAAAUUGAAUUUUCCAGAUGUUUUGUUCUCACUUUUGAAAAGAUAAGGGAAUGUGGAAUGGAAACCCAUUCUAUUUCCCUCCAAAUUGAUUUUAUAGUUAACGUGUGUUAUUUGAAAGUGUCAAUUUGAACGAAAACGAAUAAAGAGGUACAUGGAAGGUA